UUACGGCCGUAUCACGUUGAAACACCGGUGUCCGUGCAAUCAGCGAAGUUAAGCAACGUCGAGCCUGGUCAGUACGUAAAUGGGUUACCACUUGGGAAUAUCCGCAUUGUAA